rnacentral:lncRNA from 1 species
GAUGGGACGAGCCGUUCGCUGUGGUGAGACCCUCCCUGCGGUGCUGCCUCCGGCUCUGGGGCCACCGACAGAAGGACGUGGACCUGUUGGAGAGGAUCCAGAGGAGGCCACGGAGAUGCUUGGGAGAGCUGGAGCCCCUCUGCUGGUACACGUGGCGGUGUUUGGCAGCACAAAGUGCCUCGCAGAAGUGGAUGCAGUCGUUUGCGCUGCAGAACUGCUGUCUCACUUUAAUUGGCAUAAUCAGGUGAAGAAAACACUUCCCUCCUCUCCCUGCCACCCGCACCUUCCUGCUGCCCUCCACAGCAGGUCGGAGCCGGUGUGUCACCGCUCGCUGCUUGUUUCCCUCUCGACAGCAGCCAACCGCCGCCGGAGAAAGGGAACGAGUCUGGCUCAGCCAGUGGUCCAGUCAACACAACCCACCCCUGCGCUGGUUCUUCGUUAAAAAAUACCAUCGGAGGAGUCGUAGUUCUGGCUGUCAAGCAAGGGACAUGCAGAAGUUGAAGUCCACGACUUGGGAACUUAAGCGAAGGUCAGUGAAUAGGGUUCUAUGAUUUUCAUAAAUGGCUGCAAUACUACAAGCCAUUACUCAUCAGAAAUUUGGCAGAGUAAUGGUGCCUAAUAUAAUUAGGUAAUCCUAAUGAAUUCUCGUGUAAUCAAAUCUAAUCUCUGGAUGAGUUCAGUAGGCUGAGGGCAGUGAAUGGCUAGAACGUCUGGUGCUCUUAGGCAGUGACAUAAGGACUGUCACUGCAGCCAGGGGCACAGAGCUUCGCCGGCUGAACACCCUGGGUGGUUAUGGUAGCAAUAUGCCUUCAAAUAUCUUCAUUACUGAGUGCUAAAUAAGAGCAGCAGCGUGUUAGAAACUGCAGGUUACCUAAGCCAUACUUUUGGGGGAUUUCCCGCUCAGCCGUUCAACUCAGUAUGAAGUUCUGUGGACACGGGAUGCAUCGGAGACCGCAGAGGAGACGUGGGGACACUCUGCUCUAUCCCAGCCUGCAAAUCCUCAGUUCCUUGUCCGAAGUGUUGCAGACAUCUCUCCAUGCUUCUCCUUCAGCAGCCAUGUCCUUUGUCUCCUGCUGGUUCUGCAACCUUCCAGUCCUUUGAUCUUGCAGCCUCUCCGGAAGGUAGAAUAUCAAAGGCUACAUUUUCUCCCAUGCAUCACAUUUGCCUUUGGGUCUUGGUCAGUUCUUCAAAGGCCGUGGAGGUUGCACUACUGAAGGCCCUUCAGCCAAAAAUACUGAUCAGGUGCCACAAAGAACUUGCUAGAUUUGAAGAGGUACUGGCAAAGACAAGAUCAUCAUCAGGAACAUUUCCAACAGUGGAAAACGUUUCCAUUUCUCUUUGGGAAGCUGCUUUAGGAUGCUGCUGCAGGCACAGGGAAUUCACAAGGUUCCUAUAACUUUAUAGCUUUAAGAAGAGAUGAAAAGGUAGCACUUCAGAUAUCACUUCAGUCUUCAGAGUGCUAUAAUAUAGAUGUUUAGCCCAAUCACAUACGUGAUUUCAGCCACAGGAAAACACCUUGCAAGAGAGAUUAUUUAUUUUUUUUGCUAUUGGAGAAGUCUGGUUUUUUUCUGCGUUCUAAAUCUUAGUCUGGUCCAUCACAAUUUGUAGCAAUUAUGUGAAUUCAGCAUGGAGGAAAAGAUGUUAAGACAAAGUUUCCCCCAAACAGGAAAGUUUGAACCCUGCAUGGAAGAGAUUAGCUGCCUGUGAACAAAUGACUUAGGAGCACAGACAUCAAUAAAUGACAGCAGCAAAAGUUCUCA